UGCCAGCAGCCGCGGUAAUACGGAGGGUGCAAGCGUUAAUCGGAAUUACUGGGCGUAAAGCGCGCGUAGGCGGUUUUGUAAGUCGGAUGUGAAAUCCCUGGGCUUAACCUGGGAACUGCAUUCGAUACUGCAUAACUAGAGUAUGGUAGAGGGAAGUGGAAUUUCCGGUGUAGCGGUGAAAUGCGUAGAUAUCGGAAGGAACACCAGUGGCGAAGGCGACUUCCUGGGCCAAUACUGACGCUGGGGAGCGAAAGGGGGGAGAAAAAACAGGAUAACACC
rnacentral:rRNA from 1 species